UGGGGAAUAUUGGGCAAUGGGCGAAAGCCUGACCCAGCAACGCCGCGUGAAGGAAGAAGGUUUUCGGAUUGUAAACUUCUUUUAUCAGGGACGAAGAAAGUGACGGUACCUGAUGAAUAAGCCACGGCUAACUACGUGCCAGCAGCCGCGGUAAUACGUAGGUGGCAAGCGUUAUCCGGAUUUACUGGGUGUAAAGGGCGCGUAGGCGGGGAUGCAAGUCAGAUGUGAAAUCUAUGGGCUUAACCCAUAAACUGCAUUUGAAACUGUAUCUCUUGAGUGUCGGAGAGGUAGACGGAAUUCCUAGUGUAGCGGUGAAAUGCGUAGAUAUUAGGAGGAACACCAGUGGCGAAGGCGACUUUCUGGACUGUAACUGACGUUGAGGCACGAAAGUG
rnacentral:rRNA from 1 species